rnacentral:rRNA from 1 species
CGGAAGGUCCAGGCGUUAUCCGGAUUUAUUGGGUUUAAAGGGAGCGUAGGCUGUUGGUUAAGCGUGUUGUGAAAUGUAGAUGCUCAACAUCUGAAUUGCAGCGCGAACUGUCCGACUUGAGUGCGCGGAAAGCAGGCGGAAUUCGUUGUGUAGCGGUGAAAUGCUUAGAUAUGACGAAGAACUCCGAUUGCGAAGGCAGCUUGCUGUAGCGUAACUGACGCUGAAGCUCGAAAGUGCGGGUAUCGAACAGGAUU